AAGUCAUCCAAGCAAAGGUCAGAGGAAAGAGGACUCCAGGCAGAAUAGCAGCUUGGGCAAGGAGCAGGGGUAAGCCUGAGCACUAUUUUCAUGAAAACUGCCUGCUCAAUCUAUUCUUUAAGGACCUGAAAACCCAGACCCCAAAGGAAUGUUCUGCUUUGCCAACAUUCACUGUCCCGGUGUUUGCUGACUUCACAAACAGAACUUGAUGAAAAUAUGAAAAGACCUGAGAAAGGGUGAAUGUAUGAGAGGAAGAUCCUCUGGGAGCCCAAGGAAUUUACAGAUCCCUGAAUUUUAUCACUGUAGUUACUUUUAAAUUAAAGACAAUAACUGUUCCUUCCAGGUUCUCGUUGACAAAUAAGAAUGCCGAUGUCACUCAAGCAUAUGAUAUGAUAAUCUUUCCCAGAACUGGGAGUAUUCAGAACUAACCAGACAUGGGAACUGUGUUUUUUCAAUGUCUGAGACUUUCUCCUAAUUCCAUCUUAGUCACACGUAGUUACUCAUUACCUUGAAGGGCAUUAAGAGUUUAUCCAUGGCUGCUGUACAUUUUGUGCUGCUUUGCUAAAUCAGGAAAAAAUGCAGACAGCUGAGUCAUAGUUUUCAAUUAGUUUUUCAAUUUCACCAGGAACAAAGUUUUUCAAUAUCUUUAUCAAUUUUGUUGCUUUUCAUAUUACUCUGAUUACAUACUUUGCAGGAUAAUCCAGCCUUUUCCUGAAGUAUAUUAAUAAUGCAUAAUAUAAAUGGGGAGCUGCAUUAUCAAAGUACUCUUAAACAGAGGUGAAAACUUGAAAUCCAGCAAGAUUUAGUGAUUCACAUUCAUGGUCUAUAGAGAUGUGACAGAGGAAAGGAGAAUAAGACAAUUAAGAACCUUGAAAUCAUGACAGGGAUUUAUUACCCAAGAAGAACU
rnacentral:lncRNA from 1 species